ACUUCCUGGUGAUUCUCCACCACUUUAUGUAUCCAAAUCAAGGUUCUCACAAAGUGAUUCAUCCUGGUUUGAUUGGAACGACGAUGAAGCUGUGCUAUUCCCAAACUGGGAAACUGGAAUCACCUGAUUUGAAAGUGGGAUAACUUCUUCAUCCCAACUCCUUUGAGAUUUAUUCAACUUCCAGGUGAUUCUCCACCACUUUAUGUAUCCCAAUCAAGCUUCUUACAAAGAGAUUCAUCCUGGUAUGAUUGGAACGACGAAGAAGCUGUCAUAUUCCCAAACUGGGAAACUGGAAUCACCUGAUUUGAAAGUGGGAUAACUUCUUCUUGCUAGCUCGUAUGAGAUUUAUUCAACUUCCUGGUUAUUCUCCACCACUUUAUGUAUCCAAAUCAAGCUUCUCACAAAGUGAUUCAUCCUGGUUUGAUUGGAACGACGAAGAAGCUGUUCUAUUCCCAAACAGGGAAACUGGAAUCAUCUGAUUUGAAAGUGGGAUAACUUCUUCUUGCCAACUCCAAUGAGAUUUAUUCAACUUCCUUGUGAUUCUCCACCACGUUAUGUAUCCAAAUCAGGCUUCUCACAACGUGAUUCAUCCUGGUUUGAUUGGAGCGACGAAGAAGCUGUGCUAUUCCCAAACAGGGAAACUGGAAUCACUUGAUACCAAAUACACUUUUGUGUAUUAGAGUGUGUUUAAGAACAAUCAGAUUGUUUUGUGUAAGAUUAAAGAGAUUGAGAAAAUAAGUAGAGAGAGAAUAGAGAGAAUACUCAAAACUCCAUUAGUUGAUUUAAUGUCUCAGAUACAAGUUAUAUAUGAAGAGAUAAGGCUGGUACAAAGGGGAUUUCGAAAUGGAACUCAAAGCAUGUGAAGUCAAAGCUAGCUGGAUGGUUGAGAGGCUUCACAUGCUUGGACAGGCUGUAAAGUAGCUUUUCCUUUCCAGCUAUGACCAGACCUUAUCCAAACUGAUCCUUUCUUAUCCAGACUGCUCCUUGGCGUGAUAUACUCUCCAAAGUGUUGCAAGGUAACUUCCCAAGCCUUUAACUUAGUUACCACAGUAAAAGCUAAAGUUACUGUGGUAAAUCCCCAAAGUUACUGACUGCUUUAAUACUCUUCCUUUAUAGAUGUAUCCACUCUUUAUCUCCUCUUCUCAACAUUCCCAAACUGGGAAGCUGGAAUCACGUGAUUUGAAAGUGGGAUAACUUCUUCAUCCCAACUCCUAUGAGAUUUAUUCAACUUCCUGGUCAUUCUCCACCACUUUAUGUAUCCAAAUCAAGCUUCUCACAAAGUAAUUCAUCAUGGUUUGAUUGGAACGACGAAGAAGCUGUGCUAUUCCCAAACUGGGAAACUGGAGUCACCUGAUUUGAAAGUGGGAUAACUUCUUCUUCCCAACUCCUAUGAGAUUUAUUCAACUUCCUAGUGAUUCUCCACCACUUUAUGUAUCCAAAUCAAGCUUCUUACAAAGAGAUUCAUCCUGGUAUGAUUGGAACGACGAAGAAGCUGUGCUAUUCCCAAACUGGGAAACUGGAAUCACCAGAUUUGAAAGUGGGAUAACUUCUUCAUCCCAACUCCUAUGAGAUUUAUUCAACUUCCUAGUGAUUCUCCACCACUUUAUGUAUCCAAAUCAAGCUUCUUACAAAGAGAUUCAUCCUGGUAUGAUUGGAACGACGAAGAAGCUGUGCUAUUCCCAACCUGGGAAACUGGAAUCACAUGAUUUGAAAGUGGGAUAACUUCUUCUUGCCAACUCCUAUGAGAUUUAUUCAACUACCUGGUGAUUCUCCACCACUUUAUGUAUCCAAAUCAAGCUUCUCACAAAGUGAUUCAUCCUGGUUUGAUUGGAACGACAAAGAAGCUGUGCUAUUCCCAAACUGGGAAACUGGAAUCACCUGAUUUGAAAGUGGGAUAACUUCUUCAUCCCAACUCCUAUGAGAUUUAUUCAACUUCCUGGUGAUUCUCCACCACUUUAUGUAUUCAAUUCAAGCUUCUUACAAAGAUAUUCAUCCUGGUUUGAUUGGAACGACGAAGAAGAUGUGGUAUUCCCAAAUUGGGAAACUGGAAUCACGUGAUUUGAAAGUGGGAUAACUUCUCCAUCCCAACUCCUAUGAGAUUUAUUCAACUUCCUGGUGAUUCUCCACCACUUUAUGUAUCCAAAUCAGGCUUCUCACAAAGUGAUUCAUCCUGGUUUGAUUGGAACGAUGAUGAAGCUGUGCUAUUCCCAAACAGGGAAACUGGAAUCACCUGAUUUGAAAGUGGGAUAACUUCUUCAUCCCAACUCCUAUGAGAUUUAUUCAACUUCCUGGUCAUUCUCCACCACUUUAUGUAUCCAAAUCAAGCUUCUCACAAAGUGAUUCAUCCUGGUUUGAUUGGAACGACAAAGAAGCUGUGGUAUUCCCAAACUAGGAAACUGGAAUCACCUGAUUUGAAAGUGGGAUAACUUCUUCUUGCCAGCUCGUAUGAGAUUUAUUCAACUUCCUGGUUAUUCUCCACCACUUUAUGUAUCAAAAUAAAGCUUCUCACAAAGUGAUUCAUCCUGGUUUGAUUGGAACGACAAAGAAGCUGUGGUAUUCCCAAACUAGGAAACUGGAAUCACCUGAUUUGAAAGUUGGAUAACUUCUUCUUCCCAACUCCUAUGAGAUUUAUUUAACCUCCUGGUGAUUCUCCACCAUUUUAUGUAUCUAAAUCAAGCUUUUCACAAAGUGAUUCUUCCUGGUUUGAUUGGAACGACGAAGAAGCUGUCAUAUUCCCAAACUGGGAAACUAGAAUCACCUGAUUUGAAAGUGGGAUAACUUCUUCAUGCCAACUCCUAUGAGAUUUAUUCAACUUCCUGGUCAUUUUACACCACUUUAUGUAUCCAAAUCAAGCAUCUCACAAAGUGAUUCAUCCUGGUUUGAUUGGAACGAUGAUGAAGCUGUGCUAUUCCCAAACUGGGAAACUGGAAUCACCUGAUUUGAAAGUGGGAUAACUUCUUCUUGCCAACUCCUAUGAGAUUUAUUAAACUUCCUGGUGAUUCUCCACCACUUUAUGUAUCCAAAUCAAGCUUCUCACAAAGUGAUUUAUCCU
rnacentral:lncRNA from 1 species